rnacentral:lncRNA from 1 species
AUCUCUUCUUCUAUUGUAGUUUUAAAAAAAGAAAAGUGGAGAUUGUUCUAUGAUAAAGUCUCUAAAAUUUCUCAAGGUAGUUUCCUCUAUUUUAUAGUAUUCUCUAUAUCAUCAUUUGGCCAGUAACGCUUACUAAUUCUUCUACACAGAGGUUAUGCCGGGCUUCCUUUUUUCCACCACCAACAUCGGUGCACAUGAGGUGAUAAAGUGGGUGUAUUUCUCCUGUUCUUUUGUUUAGGCCUUUAUUUUCCAUAGUUUGGUUGCCCGGUCUAUGUGAUUAUCCUCCGGAGAAAUGUUUUUGCUAAAGUUCUCUCUUGAAUAUCUCGCUUUUGGCCAUGGGCUCGAGGAGUCUGGAAACGUUCAUCAGAGUCGCUUUUCUUUUGGGCAUGGGCUCAAGGAGUCUGGACAACCAAGUUUAAUCCUUUUUUCAACUGAUCUUUAUUUUGUUGAAUGUCUCUAGCAAAUAUUUGUGUUAUACACUAAAAUGUAUUAUUGCCUUUUAAGGUGGCUUUUUCUUUCCACCUCAUUUAUCACAUACAUUCAAUAGAUGAUUUUACCUUUUUUUUUCUCUUUUUUUUUUCAAUUUACCUAAUUCAAUAUGUAUUAUUAGGUUCUCUAUACUGAGCUGAGGAACAUUAUGGUUUGUUAUCUAACAUUCGGCAGUUAGUUAAGAUACUUUCUGUCAUACUCUUUGUUCUUUAAUAGUUAUCAAGAAAUUGGGGGCCUUUUACAACAGGUAUGUGUUUUGUUUGUCCACUGCAACUAUGUAUUAUCAGGAAUUUGUAUUUAAUUAUAUGCUUUUGGUAUUAUGUUAAAUAUGUUCUAAGUGAUAUGAAAUAGGACUCUACUUCUUCUAAAUUUUCAAGUCUCAACUUGUGCUCUGAUUAUUAAAACCAUUGACAUUCAUGUAUUUGCUAAUAAUUGGGUGUUCGAUUUUAGUUUGCGAAGUUGCGUAUCUGUUAGUUUCAAUGAAUUCAUUUGAAUGAAGACAAUAAUUAAUGAUUUGCAUUUGAUGCUUGCUAAUAAUCAGUGGUUUAUUCCACUGGGGCAAAUCUUGCUUUAUUUUUUUUAAUCUUUAACCCCUUUUUAAAAACUAGAAGUGAGAUUUUUUGUCCUUGAUAGGUUUACCUUCCAAUAUGUAAGUUGUUGACUGGAAUUGUUUACAACCUAGAGGGGCUUGACUUUGAUGAUAAUUUCAUGGGAUGCUUGACUUCAAAAAAUUAAUGAUAAAUCUCAUUUGAUGCUUGUGAAAUGAAUGGUGGAAUUUUCCCUUUCUAUAAGGCAGAAGUGUUGUUUGGAUUUAAGCAUUUUGUCUUCUAUUAUUUUCUUAAAUAUGCUUUUAGUACUUCUGGUAAUAAAAGCGUUUCACUCAUUUGCACUUUAGAUGGUUAGGUACUGUUAUUUUUCUGGUGGUGACUUUCUUUUAACUGGCAAAAUGAUACGAAUCUUAGGAGCUGCCCAAAAGCUAUUACGUGGCCCAUUGACGAGUCGUUGGGGUCCAAUGAAGAGAGCCAAAGCCAAGCAUUCAAAGUUCAAGAAUUUCAUCUGCAACGCGUCGGACUGAUUCAGUUGUUUUAGCAGUUUCCGUUAUUUCCAAUUAUUUCCUAGUUUUAUUGCUUCCAAUUGGGUCUUGUAAGCCUACUAAGGCAUAUCUAGUAUGUUAGGGCAAUUAGUUAUGUUUUGGUGAAGUCUUCCAAUUCAAUUAGGAAACUUACCUCUUUCGCGUAGGCUUAGGUUCAGUUGUUUUGUAAGCCUAUAAAAGGCUGCUCAAUUCCAUAGAGAAGGGACUUUUUGGAUUUUCAGAAAUUAAGAGAGUUUCUCUAACUUCUUGUGAGCAGCCUUGAGCACCUUUAGAGGAUCUAAAGUUUUCGUUGACUUUAUCAAUCAGGAAACACGCCUGAUUGUGGUGUCUUCUACCGUUCGAAACUAUCUCGCGCUGCCCUUGAUAGUCUAGGACUCCGCUUACCCCAAACUCAUUACCUUGGUCUUGGGCUUGUGGUUCGAAUUCUGGCGUCCUCGGAUCCGAGUUUGUA